ACCAACUGACCAACGGCCAGUUCUCCAUUAUACAGAUGAUAUGCUAGAUAGAUAUUUGAUACACAUGUCAUGUAGUUUUGGAUUGAUAACCAAUAUCCCUGCUAAAACCUCUAUAAUACAGGACAUUGACAUCGGUCCCCUAUAAUUAUUAAUGGAAGUGCCUGUCCUCAAAGCAAAAGCUGAUCCUGAGUAUAUUUCCUAUAUAUAAUUUACAUUUAUAGACACCACACAGCCCCGGACUCUUCGCGCCUGAGCAGGAGGAGGGAGGGGAGCACAGAGCUUGCUGUGAGGAAAUGAGAGCACCGCAGAGGCUGUACAACAUGGGGCCUGACUAAAGAUAAAGAUCUGCUGACAAAGUGAGGAACCAAUGAUGUCUGAGCAUCACACUCUGCAGAGGAAGAUUUAGCUGGAAGCCACCACCCCAUCUGGACCGGAGGAAGGAGAAAAUGGAAGACAACAGAGAAGACGUC